ACCAGCCCUGAAAAUGGAUGGCGCUUUAGCGUUCGGCCUAUACCCAACCGCUAGAAUGGAGCUGGCAUUUCGGUGCAGAGCCCGUAUAUUCUAGUGAGUAAGGGGGUGUGAUGGUAAGCGUUGAAGGGUCUGGGUGUGAACCUGCCUGGAGCUGCCAUCGGCACAGAUCUUGGUGGUAGUAGCAAAUACUCAAGUGAGAUCCUUGAGGGCUGACGUGGAGAAGGGUUCCAUGUGAACAGCAAUUGCACAUGGGUGAGUCGUUCCUAAGCCAAAGGCGAAAGCCACACUCAUAAACUUGAGGCCACAUGAAUUUGAAGAUAUCAACUCAUUCAACGGUGGGAUUGCAAUAGAGGUCUGUCUCAGGCAUCACUGGCAUCGGUGGAACUGAGGGACUUCGACUGUUCCCACUGCCAUAAUGAGCAAAAUGAUGGAAAAUUACAAGUGAGAGCCUGCAAGGAGUAUGGCGAAAGGGAAUCCGGUACUCAUUCCGGAACCUGGACAUGAGGAGUAGUGUUGCUUUAUGCAUCACCUAGCCGCAAGGCGUUUACCAUCCUAGAGAAUCCAACCAGAGAGCCGGGAAGAGUUGUCUUUUCUGCUUAAGGGGAAGAGGGCCUUGUGAACUGGGUCGGUCAGAGAGAGGGUCUUUUCCCCGAAUAGCACCGCGGUUCUUGCGGAGUCCAGCUCCUCUGGUAUGGAACUUGAAAAUCUAGGGGUAAGAAUGAAAUACCUUCAUGCCAGUUCGUACCCAUAUCCGCAUCUGGUCUCCAAGGUGAACAGCCUCUUGCCGAUAGAUGAAUGUAGGUAAGGGAAGUCGGCAAGCCAGAUCCG
rnacentral:rRNA from 1 species